AAAGGUAAGCUACUAAGAGCGAAUGGUGGAUGCCUUGACUGGUAAAGGCGAUGAAGGACGUACUAGACUGCGAUAAGCUACGGGGAGCUGUCAAGAAGCUUUGAUCCGUAGAUUUCCGAAUGGGGCAACCCAAUGUAUAGAGAUAUACAUUACCUAUAUAGGAGCGAACGAGGGGAAUUGAAACAUCUUAGUACCCUCAGGAAAAGAAAUCAAUAGAGAUUGCGUCAGUAGCGGCGAGCGAAAGCGCAAGAGGGCAAACCCAGUGCUUGCACUGGGGGUUGUAGGACUGCAAUGUGCAAGAGGUAAGUUUAGCAGAACAUUCUGGAAAGUAUAACCAUAGAGGGUGAUAGUCCCGUAUGCGAAAAACAAACCUUAGCUAGCAGUAUCCUGAGUAGGGCGGGACACGAGGAAUCCUGUCUGAAUCCGGGUCGACCACGAUCCAACCCUAAAUACUAAUACCAGAUCGAUAGUGCACAAGUACCGUGAGGGAAAGGUGAAAAGAACUGAGGUGAUCAGAGUGA
rnacentral:rRNA from 1 species